GGAUGAUCAACCAGAAGUACAAAGCCCAGGGUUUUGGGUUUCAGCUGAAGGAGGUGCAACUAUUAGUCCAAUCGUGUACAGUGAUGUGGCUGCAUAUAGGUUGUCUUUAUCCGAUGACACUAAAGCUAUUAACUAGCUGAACACACUUAUACAA